rnacentral:rRNA from 1 species
AACGAACGCUGGCGGCAUGCCUAACACAUGCAAGUCGAACGAGACCUUCGGGUCUAGUGGCGCACGGGUGCGUAACGCGUGGGAACCUGCCCUUAGGUUCGGAAUAACUCCCCGAAAGGGGUGCUAAUACCGGAUAAUGUCUUCGGACCAAAGAUUUAUCGCCUUUGGAUGUGCCCGCGUUGGAUUAGCUAGUUGGUAGGGUAAAAGCCUACCAAGGCGACGAUCCAUAGCUGGUCUGAGAGGAUGAUCAGCCACACUGGGACUGAGACACGGCCCAGACUCCUACGGGAGGAAGAAGUGGGGAAUAUUGGACAAUGGGCGAAAGACUGAUCCAGCAAUGCCGCGUGAGUGAUGAAGGCCUUAGGGUGGUAAAGCUCUUUUACCCGGGAUGAUAAUGACAGUACCGGGAGAAUAAGCUCCGGCUAACUCCGUG